AUACGGAGGGCGCGAACGUUGCUCGGAAUCAUUGGGCGUAAAGCGCACGUAGGCGGCCUGAUAAGUCGGAUGUGAAAGCCCACGGCUCAACCGUGGAAGUGCAUUCGAAACUGUCAGGCUUGAGUAUGGGAGAGGGUUGCGGAAUUCCCGGUGUAGAGGUGAAAUUCGUAGAUAUCGGGAGGAACACCAGCGGCGAAGGCGGCAGCCUGGACCAAUACUGACGCUGAGGUGCGAAAGCGUGGGGAGCAAACAGGAUUAGAAACCCUAGUAGUCC
rnacentral:rRNA from 1 species